UCAGCCUCACUCUAACUCACCAUCGCUCUCACCCUCAAUCCCUCUCACCCUCUCACUCUCAUCGAGCCUCUCAGCCUCGCCCUCACUCUCAUUCACUCUCACUCUCAAUGGGUUUUUCUUACUUCAACCUCCGAUACAGCAAGGCACAACAUGUAAUUUGCAGAAGUAAGGAGAGAAACGAAGAAGGAAGAGAUCGGCAAACUACUUGCAGACCCACUUAGGCAACGAUUGAAGCAGAGAGAGGAGACUCUAGUGCAAAAUAGGAGCAACUGGAGUUCGAGAAAGCUGUCAAAGUCGCAGAUGAAGUUCUAUUGAUUGCUCCCGGAGACGAGGACGCGAUUAAGUGCAAAGAGGCACUUUCCAUGAUUCGAUCUUGCAAAAAUCGUGCUCUCUAUUUCAGCGUCUUCAAGCUGCAUAGUGGUUUACAAGGAGAUUGACUCUUCAUUGUCUGCAACAUGGCCAAGCGGACAUAGGCUGGUCUCCGUUUUCCUCUUACCUAUUCACUAAAAUAAUGGCACCUUCGACACGAAAAGCUUCCUCUCAAGCACUAGCAAUGGCAAAAAGAAUGAGGGAAAUCCAGCUGAGAAGGACAAGCAAAUCUACUAAUACUAAGCAAUCAAAUGGAUCAUCAUCAAGGGGAACAAUGGCUUCAAAAAAAACUGCAUCAAAGUUGUCAUUGAAACGACCAAGUAAAUCAAAGGGUUCAACAGUUGCGAGAAGAGCAGGACUAAGAUUGCUUAAACGAGGUUGUGUAAAAAUGUGUCGCAUUGUUAGGCGGAAGAUUAUUGGAAAAAGAAUGACUGUACCGUUUAACCAGAAAGGGCAACACAUAGGAAAAGUCGGAAAAGAGAUGCAGUCAUAUAUUGAAGUUUUAGCUCGCAUGAAGAUUCCAAUCUCGAUACCAUCAUGGAAAGAUGUGUUAAUGGAAAGGGCUAAAUACUGACUACUACCCUGUAGUUUGGGUCUAAAAUCAAUUCAGUCCCUAAACUUCUAAUUUCAUCAAGAACACCCAUGCACUUUCAAUUUUGAUCUAAUAGGUCCAAUUUGUUAGUCUUCCGACAAUUGAGUCAUUUAACUUGUUGACGUUGUUUGGCUCCAAUUUUGUUGCAGCUGGUCAACAGUCUCUUUUCUUGCGCGGGCGUGCCAGCACCGUUCGGGUGCGGUCGUCGGGGGUGUCCCUUGACCUGACUUCUAUCAAGCGAUUGUAGACGAGGAGAGCACCAACCUCGUCGUGGGAUUCUUUGUGCCUCGUGGUGAGGACUUUGCUGAAGUUUCUUCUUGUUCACAAGUCGAUACUCAAUAUUGCAGAUUGAGCAGAGCGAAAUCACCGGGAAGUAUUGAGAUCUUGCUAAAGCGUGACUUUAGCUUGGCUGGGUUGCUAGGGCGUUACCCUUGCUUGGCUGGUUCUGUAACCGUUGUGGUCGCGGCACUACCGUCGGCUCCCGAGGAGACUAGGACCGAAGCACGUUGACAGAGGGUUUGGUGGCACUGAAAGUCGGCUUCUGAGAAGACUAGGACUAGGAGUGUGAUCACCGGUAAGAGAAAGAGAAGGAGAGGAGUUGCUCUUAGAGAGGUUGCUCUAGAGAAAACUUAGAUCAUCUUAGAGAUGUUUGAUGUUGUGUUGUGAAUGUGUCUCUUAGAAUGAGAGGAGAAGGUGUUUAUAUAGGGAAGAAAAAGAAGAGUGAAAUGAUGAGUGGAAGAAAAAUAAUGAAAGUGGAGUAUGAAAGUGAUUUGUAAAAUAUGGAAAAGAUAGAGAAAUGAUGAAAUGAAAGCAAAGCAUGAAGGUGUAGAAACAUGGAAGUGAUGAUGAUCUAUUAAAGAGAUUGUCUUGAAAAAUAUAUCCAAGGAAAAGAAGAAAAGCAUCUAGCUUUCUUCAUGUGGGUAGGAAACAUGAACAUGUGAAUAUUGAGCUGGUUUUAGGUCAGUUUCUGCCCCUUUAUUCCUUCAAUUAUUUCUCCAACAAGACUUCAGAAUGAGCCUUCGAC